CAAUAGCGUAUAUUAAAGUUGUUGCGGUUAAAAAGCUCGUAGUUGGAUUUCUGUUGAGGACGGCCGGUCCGCACUAUGUGCGUGUAUCUGGUUCGGCCUUGGCAUCCUCUUGAGGAACGUUCCUGCGCUUGAUUGCGUGGGGCGGUAUUCAAGACUUUUACUUUGAGGAAAUUAGAGUGUUCACGGCAGGCAAGCGCCUUGAAUACAUUAGCAUGGAAUAAUAAUAUAGGAUCUUGGUUCUAUUUGUUGGUUUCUAGGGCUAAGGUAAUGAUUAAUAGGGAUAAUUGGGGGCAUUUGUAUUAACGCGUCAGAGGUGGAAUUCUUGGAUUGCGUUACGACAAACUACUGCGAAAGCAUUUGCCAAGGAUGUUUUCAUUG
rnacentral:rRNA from 1 species